GAUGAACGCUGGCGGCGUGCUUAACACAUGCAAGUCGAACGAUGAACCGGGUGCUUGCACUCGGGGAUUAGUGGCGAACGGGUGAGUAACACGUGAGUAACCUGCCCCUGACUCUGGGAUAAGCGCUGGAAACGGCGUCUAAUACUGGAUAUGUCCCGUCACCGCAGGGUGUGCGGGUGGAGAGAUUUUUCGGUUGGGGAUGGGCUCGCGGCCUAUCAGCUUGUUGGUGAGGUAAUGGCUCCCCAAGUCGUCGACGGGUAGCCGGCCUGGGAGGGGGACCGGCCACACUGGGACUGAGACACGGCCCAGACUCCUACGGGAGGCAGCAGUGGGGAAUAUUGGACAAUGGGCGGAAGCCUGACGCAGCAACGCCGCGUGCGGGAUGACGGCCUUCGGGUUGUAAACCGCUUUCAGCAGGGAAGAAGCCGCAAGGUGACGGUACCUGCAGAAGAAGCACCGGCUAACUACGUGCCAGCAGCCGCCGUAA
rnacentral:rRNA from 1 species